rnacentral:rRNA from 1 species
UACGUAGGGUGCGAGCGUUGUCCGGAAUUACUGGGCGUAAAGAGCUCGUAGGUGGUUUGUCGCGUUGUUCGUGAAAACUCACAGCUUAACUGUGGGCGUGCGGGCGAUACGGGCAGACUGGAGUACUGCAGGGGAGACUGGAAUUCCUGGUGUAGCGGUGGAAUGCGCAGAUAUCAGGAGGAACACCCGUAGCGAAGGCGGCACUCUGGGCCGGAACUGACGCUGAGGAGCGAAAGCGUGGGGAGCAAACAGG